ensembl:rRNA 5S_rRNA 5S ribosomal RNA
AUCUAUGGCCCUAUCACCCGGCACGUGCCUGAUCUCAGAAGUUAAGCAGGGUUGGGCCUGGGAAGUGCUUGGAUGGGACAAAUAGGAUCAGGGUAGUCCAAUCAGAGUGAAGCUUGGGGCUUUUGUAU